GGAGGAAAGCAGGGGAUCGUAAGACCUUGCGCUUUUGGAGUGGCCGAUGCCUGAUUAGCUAGUUGGUGGGGUAAGGGCCUACCAAGGCAACGAUCAGUAGUUGGUCUGAGAGGACGACCAGCCACACUGGGACUGAGACACGGCCCAGACUCCUACGGGAGGCAGCAGUGGGGAAUUUUGGACAAUGGGCGAAAGCCUGAUCCAGCAAUGCCGCGUGAGUGAAGAAGGCCUUCGGGUUGUAAAGCUCUUUCAGUCGAGAAGAAAAGGUUGUGACUAAUAAUCACAACUUAUGACGGUACCGACAGAAGAAGCACCGGCUAACUACGUGCCAGCAGCCGCGGUAAUACGUAGGGUGCGAGCGUUAAUCGGAAUUACUGGGCGUAAAGGGUGCGCAGGCGGCUUUGUAAGUCAGAUGUGAAAUCCCCGGGCUUAACCUGGGAAUUGCGUUUGAAACUACAAAGCUAGA
rnacentral:rRNA from 1 species